rnacentral:lncRNA from 1 species
UCGAUACAUCGACGGUAAAGUAGGCAAAUACUGAAAAAUAACAAGGGAAACAAAUUUUGAUGAUAAUUAAAAUACUAAACAUAGAAAAUACUAAAACUCUAGUAUAAUCAGUUAAUACUAGCUAUCACUUUGGUCUACGAGAAUGCUCCAAAGAAUGGAUUUGUUGGAAUACAUGAUCGAACUAUUCGUUAACGACAUCCAUAAAUCCUAGGACAUCCACUCGGAGAGAACUCAC